CCUACGGGUGGCAGCAGCAAGGAAUAUUGGGCAAUGGCCGAAAGGCUGACCCAGCGACGCCGCGUGGGGGAGGAAGGCCUUCGGGUUGUAAACCCCUUUUCUCAAGGAAGAAACUAGACGGUACUUGAGGAAUAAGCCCCGGCUAACUACGUGCCAGCAGCCGCGGUAAUACGUAGGGGGCGAGCGUUGUCCGGAAUCACUGGGCGUAAAGCGCGCGUAGGUGGCGCGUCAAGAUCGGCGUGAAAUCCCCGGGCUCACCUCGGGGGGGUCGUCGGUGACUGGCGUGCUUGGGUUCCGCAGAGGCAGGUAGAAUUCCCGGUGGAGCGGUGAAAUGCGUAGAGAUCGGGAGGAAUACCAGUGGCGAAGGCGGCCUGCUGGGCGGCAACCGACGCUGAGGCGCGAAAGCGUGGGGAGCGAACCGGAUUAGAUACCCCUGUAGUC
rnacentral:rRNA from 1 species